rnacentral:ncRNA from 1 species
ACUAUCAGCUCUAGCUAAAUUUACACAUGCAAGUAUCCGCACCCCGGUGAGAAUGCCCUACAAUUCCCUGCCCGGGAACAAGGAGCUGGUAUCAGGCACUUACAAUAUAAAGCCCACGACACCUUGCUUAGCCACACCCUCAAGGGAACUCAGCAGUGAUAAACAUUAAGCCAUAAGUGAAAACUUGACUCAGUCAAAGCUAAUCUAGGGUCGGUAAAACUCGUGCCAGCCACCGCGGUUAUACGAGGGACCCAAGUUGAUAGACACCGGCGUAAAGAGUGGUUAAAACUUAUAAUUAAACUAAAGCCGAACGCCCUCAAAGCUGUUAUACGCAUCCGAGAGUAAGAAGCCCAACCACGAAAGUAGCUUUACACCCCUGAACCCACGAAAGCCAGGGUACAAACUGGGAUUAGAUACCCCACUAUGCCUAGCCUUAAACAUUGGCAGCACCCCACACCCGCUGCCCGCCUGGAAACUACGAGCACCAGCUUAAAACCCAAAGGACUUGGCGGUGCUUUAGAUCCACCUAGAGGAGCCUGUUCUAGAACCGAUACCCCCCGUUCAACCUCACCCCUCCUUGUUAUUUCCGUCUAUAUACCGCCGUCGUCAGCUUACCCUGUGAAGGCCCAAUAGUAAGCAAAAUUGGCAUAGCCCAGACGUCAGGUCGAGGUGUAGCAGGGAAGAAAUGGGCUACAUUCUCUGCCACAGAGAACACGCACGACAUAAUGAAAACAGAUGUCACAAAGGAGGAUUUAGCAGUAAGCAGGAAAUAGAGAGUUCCGCUGAAAUAGGCCCUUAAGCGCGCACACACCGCCCGUCACUCUCCCCAAGCCUACAAAAACUAAAUAACUAAAAACUCACCACUGCAAUAGGGGAGGCA